GGUUGUCAGUCUCUGUAAAUUCUGGUUUAACCAUGUCGGCCCAUGUGCCUUGCAUCUGUGUCACUCGUUGGGAGCUGUGGUUUUACGUCGGUAAUGGUGUUCGUCAGCAGUCUACGCAUCCCCAUUGGCAGUCUAUCUCUGCACGCUCAGCCCCACCCGGCUUCGCAUCGCCACGCUGCCUCCCCAAUUUCCUCCGCUCGCCACCUGUGAGAUCCCGUGGGAUCUAUCAUCUCCCUCGCCGGUAAAAGCUCCUCCACCUCACCUGCUGGCCGAACCCUCUCCCUCUCCUCCCUUCCAAAGCCGACAGCCAAGGAGGCUCGUGCCAACAAAAAUCAGAGAGGAGCUUGCCUGUGUUUACAAAUCAAGGUGGGGAGCUUGAGAUCCAGCGCCACCUGCCGGAUCGACGAAUGAAGCUCGGGAUCCAGCGGCUAGGAGCAGCACCCUUGCUACACAUCUUCCCCAGCUCAUCUCCCGACGAGGACCGUGGUGGCUGCCUCCAACAACGCCAGUCGAUGGGCUCCCCAGCUGCACCACAUCCUCAGGUCGCCGUCUCCUACAACCGGCAACGCUGAUCCGCGCGGGGAGGGCCUGGAUCCCGCGCGUUGUGGCCACACGGCAAUGCGGGGUAUGAAGGUUGCUACACCCCACUUCGCGAUGGACAGAGGGAGGGGAAGCUCCUCCGUCGGGCGUUCGCCGGCUCGCAGGUUUUGUGAAUUCCAUCUGAAGAGGUACUUUGAGUAUAAUAUCAUUUCAGGCAUAACUCAUAUAGAUUUCUCCUUCUUUUGCUGUCACUUUGUUACUGCUAGCCGAAUUAGAAUCCCAUGGCGUGGCUAAAUUCAUGAUAGAAUCGCCAAUAGUCUUAAUUCCCCACACAACUAUACAGUUAAAUACAUCAAAAUAUAUGCAGGUAAUCUUAUUUGACAAUAGUAGAGUUGUGUGGAUUUGUUGCAAUACGAAUCUGAUGCCUAUGGCUGAGUAUAGAUCUGCAUAACACUAUUUUAUUUAUGAAGCAUCGUUGGUGUAUUUGUGUCCUCUUUUACUAUUAUUAAUGCAUGAGCGAAUCUACGAGUGAGGAUGCUCUUUUUAAAA